rnacentral:ncRNA from 1 species
GUUAAGGAGACGAUAACAGGUGCGGGAAUGCGUGACGUCGCGCAUCCCGUUAAAAGGAAAGAUGGUGUGAUUCCAUCGCAUACCAGCCGUUGCUGUGAUCGGGAACGACCGCCGCACGAUGCCACUGUCGACUUAUCGUCGACGGGAAGGCGCGGUCAGUAGGAACUAAAAAACGCCCGUAAGCCAGAAAGCCUGCCUGUUGAUUGCCCGGCGGU